rnacentral:rRNA from 1 species
UGAGAGCGGCGCACGGGUGCGGAACACGUGUGCAACCUACCUUUAUCAGGGGGAUAGCCUUUCGAAAGGAAGAUUAAUACCCCAUAAUAUAUUGAAUGGCAUCAUUCGAUAUUGAAAACUCCGGUGGAUAGAGAUGGGCACGCGCAAGAUUAGAUAGUUGGUGAGGUAACGGCUCACCAAGUCAAUGAUCUUUAGGGGGCCUGAGAGGGUGAUCCCCCACACUGGUACUGAGACACGGACCAGACUCCUACGGGAGGCAGCAGUGAGGAAUAUUGGACAAUGGGUGGGAGCCUGAUCCAGCCAUCCCGCGUGAAGGACGACGGCCCUAUGGGUUGUAAACUUCUUUUGUAUAGGGAUAAACCUUUCCACGUGUGGAAAGCUGAAGGUACUAUACGAAUAAGCACCGGCUAACUCCGUGCCAGCAGCCGCGGUAAUACGGAGGGUGCAAGCGUUAUCCGGAUUUAUUGGGUUUAAAGGGUCCGUAGGCGGACCCGUAAGUCAAUGGUGAAAUCUCAUAGCUUAACUAUGAA